rnacentral:lncRNA from 1 species
ACUUGAACUCAAAAUUCCAUAUUAAUAAUGGUUGUUCAAAUCAUAUGACUAGAGAUAUAAAUAUGUUAUCUUAUUUUACUCCUACAAGAGAAUAAGUUUCUUCUUAUGGUAACAACAAAGGUAAUCUGUUGGAUCUGCAACUAUUGAUAAGAGUCAUAAUCCUACCUCUGAGUUGUUUUUAUUUAUUGAUUUUUUUAUAACACAAUUUAAUUAGUAUUUAGUAAGUUGUGUGACAAAGGUAAUGAAGUAUUGUAUAAUUCUUCUAUACACAAUGUCUUUAAAACUCCAAAAUAAAAUUUAUCUUUUUCUUAUUAAAACUUUUUCAAAAAGACCAUGACUAAAGAAAAGUUCAUUCAUGUUACCUUUGAUGAACUAACCUCAUAUUGGUUCUAGAGAUAGAGUUAUUUGUUUAUGCAGAUAUUCUAAGAAAAUAUAUCUUAGAAGACAAAUAUGAUGAAAAACCUAAAGAAUGGACAAUAUUGAAGGAUCGUCAUCUUGGCGAACAACAUAUGAAAAAUCUCAAAAGAGGAAGGCAUCCUUAAACAGAUCAACGGAAGGAAUGUGAAAUGAAAAAAGAAAUCUAAAACUCAACAUCAACCAAGAUGAAGAAGGUCGACAAAUAUUUUCAACUCAAUGAACUAGUCUCAAAGCUAGAUGAUGUCUCUAUGUGCUUAUUUUUUCAUCUUUAUUAAGUAACUCAUCCUUUCUAUUUGAGAUAUUAUUGGAUUGUAUGUGUUGUUUAUAUUUUCCUCUUUCUUUUUUGUCCUGCCUUUUUGAUGAUGACAAAGGAAGAGAAAUAUACUCUCAUGUGAGUAAAGUAUUCUCUCUUUAUAUGUGAGAACAUGGUUCUAUGUAUUAUACAAGUAAGAUCUUCAAUGGUUUUGAUGAUGAAAACUCAACAUGAAAGAUUACAUAUAAAGUCUCAUCAAUAAAUAAGAAAGCACGAGAUAAAGUGUUUCAAGUUCCAAUUGAAAGUGCUAAACAAAGUUUAAAUCAAAUGUUAGACAAAUUUUAAUCAAGUAGAAGAACUUGGAGCUGUGAAGAUGUGAAUUUGAAGUUGUAAAGUUGUGAAAUCUUUCUUGAUCAAACGUUUAGCAUUUUAUCUUGUUUUUUACCACUUAGUUAUAAAUGAAACAAUAAUAAAUCUUGAGCUACUAAUUCAAUUCA